rnacentral:tRNA from 1 species
GGAGAGGUACCGAAGCGGUCAUAACGGGGCGGUCUUGAAAACCGUUAGGGCUUUGCGGCCCACGUGGGUUCGAAUCCCACCCUCUCCGCCA